GACGAACGCUGGCGGCGGGCUUAACACAUGCAAGUCGAACGGAAGGGCCCUGCUUGCGUGGGGUGCUCGAGUGGCGAACGGGGGAGUAACACGUGAGUAACCUGCCCUAGACUUUGGGAUAACUUCAGGAAACUGGGGCUAAUACCGUAUAGCAGCCCCCGCUGCAGGGUGGGGGUUGGAAAGUCUCGGCGGUUGGGGCUGGACGCGCGGCUUAUGGGCUUGUUGGUGGGGUAGUGGCAGACCAAGGCUUUGACGGGUAGCCGGCCUGGGAGGGUGACCGGCCUCCUUGGUACUACGAUACGGAGCAGUCGGCAAUGUUGGACAGUAGUGGCGAAUCUUGCCCAGUGGGCCCACGCCUGUUACGGCAGCGCUGCGUGCGGAAUGACCGCCUUCUGGUUAUGAACCGCAUUAGGCUAUGACGACGCGUUUGUGACGGUACUGAGUAAAUAAGCACCGGCUAACUACGUG
rnacentral:rRNA from 1 species